rnacentral:tRNA from 1 species
GGGCGAGUGGCGGAAUGGCAGACGCGCUGGCUUCAGGUGCCAGUGUCCGUAAGGACGUGGGGGUUCAAGUCCCCCCUCGCGCA